AUCCAGCUGAAGAGUCCCAAAUAGAACGAAACGCGCGUCAAAAUGGAU
rnacentral:hammerhead_ribozyme from 1 species